rnacentral:rRNA from 1 species
UACGAAGGGUGCAAACGUUGCUCGGAAUUAUUGGGCGUAAAGAGCUCGUAGGCGGUUUGUCGCGUCUGCUGUGAAAACCCGAGGCUCAACCUCGGGCCUGCAGUGGGUACGGGCAGACUAGAGUGCGGUAGGGGAGAUUGGAAUUCCUGGUGUAGCGGUGGAAUGCGCAGAUAUCAGGAGGAACACCAAUGGCGAAGGCGGCUCGCUGGGCCGGUCCUGACGCUGAAACGCGAAGGCGUGGGGAGCAAACAGG